rnacentral:rRNA from 1 species
UACGAAGGGGGCUAGCGUUGCUCGGAAUCACUGGGCGUAAAGCGCACGUAGGCGGCUUACUAAGUCGGGGGUGAAAUCCCGGAGCUCAACUCCGGAACUGCCUUUGAUACUGGAGAUCUUGAGUCCGGGAGAGGUGAGUGGAACUCCGAGUGUAGAGGUGAAAUUCGUAGAUAUUCGGAAGAACACCAGUGGCGAAGGCGGCUCACUGGCCCGGUACUGACGCUGAGGUGCGAAAGCGUGGGAAGCAAACAGG